UAGGCCCUACGGGGGGCAGCAGUGAGGAAUAUUGGUCAAUGGUCGGGAGACUGAACCAGCCAAGCCGCGUGAGGGAUGAAGGUACAGAGUAUCGUAAACCUCUUUUGUCAGGGAACAAAGGCGGGGACGUGUCCCCGGACGAGUGUAACUGAAGAAAAGGCAUCGGCUAAAUCCGUGCCAGCAGCCGCGGUAAUACGGAGGAUGCGAGCGUUAUCCGGGUUUAUUGGGUUUAAAGGGUGCGCAGGCGGUCUGUU
rnacentral:rRNA from 1 species